CCUACGGGUGGCAGCAGUGAGGAAUAUUGGUCAAUGGGCGGGAGCCUGAACCAGCCAUGCCGCGUGAAGGCGAGUGCCCUACGGGCGUUAAACUUCUUUUGUGCGGGAGCAAUAAGGGCCACGUGUGGCCCGAUGAGAGUACCGCACGAAUAAGCAUCGGCUAACUCCGUGCCAGCAGCCGCGGUAAUACGGGGGAUGCGAGCGUUAUCCGGAUUUAUUGGGUUAAAAGGGUGCGCAGGCGGGCUGUUAAGCCGGCGGUAAAAAUUCAGGGCUCAACCCUGUCGAGCCGUCGGAACUGGCAGCCUUGAGUGGGCGAGAAGUAUGCGGAAUGCGUGGUGUAGCGGUGAAAUGCAUAGAUAUCACGCAGAACGCCGAUUGCGAAGGCAGCAUACCGGCGCUCAACUGACGCUCAUGCACGAAAGUGUGGGUAUCGAACAGGAUUAGAUACCCCGGUAGUC
rnacentral:rRNA from 1 species